UGAGAUUGGUCGGUCACAAUGGGCCAUAAACUGUUCAUCCAGAAGGACUGCCAGAUCAGAUCAGAUAGGAUCAAGCAGGCCAGCUGGGACAUCGUGAACCAUCGUUACAGCAAAGCCACUCCGCCCCUGUUCCCCAGGCCACGGCUGUAUCCACUCUCGCUGUCAGGCAGAGCAACUCAGGAUGGAAGGAGCCACAGGAGCGCUGGUGGCCAACAGCUCUGUAAACAAAGCUGCCCAGUGCCACCAGGGACCUGUGCCAUAAUCCUGUGCAGGUGGCCCCAGCUGCACUCUGUGCGCGGUGAUUCGGAUGGAUUGGCAGGAGCGGGAGAUGCUGCACUGGGUCGUGUGCUGUUUUAUAAAUUUUAAUCCUCGCUUUAAAUUUUCCAGCAGAAUGGGUUUGCUCUACCUCUGGGCUGGAGGAAACUUCUUUUCGUUGCCCUGGAAACAUGGAGAUGGCAGAUCCGUUGUUCAUUGGCAAGUGGGAGAGGAUGAGAGAAAAGCAGAUGACAGAGAAGCACGUGGAAACAAGAGAGUACAAGUGGUACCCUGGGGUGCCUUGCAGCAGACUUCUACGCCCAUUCUCUCCCUGAUAGCUUCAAAGAUGCUCUGGAAUAAUAAUGCACAAAUAUACGACGUGGUCGUAAGGACUGUGUUCUGACUGUAUUCUGACCCUCCUUUACACCCGUGUGCAUCAGGAGCAGCACAGCAAACAGGCAGCAGCAACAGGCAUUGCAACAAACAGGCGGCAGCGUCAGGCAGCCCUGGCCAGGUCCCCGGUGUUGGUCUGGCACGAACCUGGGAGCUGCUUCAGGUUUACACCAAGGUUUCACCAAAGCCCCAUCAUUGGCGAAGGUCUGACCACAGUGACCUCCUGCACACCUCACACCACUAAAUCUCAGUGCUCCGAGAAGAACCUGAAGGCAUGUGAGAUGUUCAGCUCUCUGCUGUCUUUCAGUGUGCAGACUCACCUUUUCACCCAAGGAAGGAACUGAUGUCACCACCUGGAGAUCUGCAACAUCUCUGGGAGGAUCUGCGUGCCUGUGAUCACAGCAGAGUGCGACUGCAGCAGCCAGAGGCUUCCCAGGAAGAAGAGGGCUUUGGGAUGGGUGGUACCUGGAUUUACUUUCCACAGGACUGCACAGGCUUGAUUCAGCUCCCACUGAGAGAUAUGAAAUUGCUUCAACAGAAACAGGACCUGACCUUAACCGAGAG
rnacentral:lncRNA from 1 species